UCCAUCAGAAUAAUGACCAUUAAUGCGUCAUUCCGCCGGGCCGGACUGCCCUGGACGGCGCUCUAGGCAAGCCAUCCACAGCCUGAAGUGAGAUGCCAGCCAGAGACAGCCUGAGUCCGAGACACAAGGCAGAGAGAAUGAAGUACAAAUCAUAAUGGUCAUCACUCAGUGAACACACUCCCUUAAGCACCAUCCAGGAUGUUUAGCUGGUUUUUAAAGGAGAAAGAGACCGCUGAGAGAAAACACUGGAGUGGCAGCCCAGGCAGCCGUGCCUGCAGGAGGAUGCCUCCCAGCAGAACAGAGUCCUCACUUUCUGCACUUGAACUGUGUGGCAGCCAGGGGCUAUGUCAUGGGUAUCCGGUGGCCACUUCGCAGAGCUGUCCGUGGGAAACAGAAACCUCCAGCCAGCCUUAUGGAAUGGAACUCUCCCGCCUUCUGCCACUACGGGCUCCCGUGAUCAUCAGAGUGGGAAAGCCUCAUCCUGAAGCACCAGGCAGAGCCAUCCUCAGUCCUGAUUCUCAGAUAGCUGCAGAUCUCGGUUUGCAUACAGUUCCUCACAGAAUCCGGGGUGUCUCCAGGCCGCUGAAGAUGAUAACAAGGGGUUGUGCAUUUGUCCGUGUCUCACACAGCCAACAGGGUGUCACCAAAUCUCCUCGUGACCAACCCCACGGGCAACCCCAGGAACCAAUGCAAUCACAAAGCCAGUGGUGAUGGCCACCAGAAACGUUGUCGAGUGUCCUUUGUCUCUGACUCAGGUCUUUUGGCAUCAUCAGUGAGGCUGAGACAGACUGGCUUGUUAGCUCACGAAAGGAUAAAAUUCAAAACCCUGUAAAUAAAGCUCUUGGCCCUACUGA